rnacentral:rRNA from 1 species
AUGCAGACCGAUGUCGACAGAACAAUACGGCGGCGGCUGGAUUCUUCGGAUCGGCAGAUCACGCCGCCGCCGGCGCAGCUGCCGGACGACCUGAUCCACUACAGCAUCCUCGCACGCCUCCCCUUCCGGCUGCUCCUCCGCCUCGCCCCCGUCUGCAAGGCGUGGCGCCACCUCAUCCUCCACGACCCCGUCUUCACCCGCGUGCAGGCGCAGUGCCCCUCGCCGGCCUCCGGCGUCCUCGCCCGCUUCCACCAGGGCCGGCUCGAGGUCCUCACCCCCGGAGCCGCGGCCGCCGCCGUCGCCCCGCCGGACGCCGGCCUCCCCUUCUUGCCCGUCGUCGACGCGCACCGGCAGCACCUCCGGCUCUGCUCCACCACGAGCGGCCUUCUUCUUGUCACCACCGGCAGCACCUUCUGGGUCGUCAACCCCGCGACCCGCGCGUUCCGUGAGAUCCCCUACGCCGGCGAGGGCGCCUUCAGGGCGUGCCUCGCGUACGACCCGGCGACGGCGCCUCAGGAAAGCUACCACCUCGUCGUCCCCGCCCGGGUAAACAUGGAGCUGUGGAGGUUCUGGAUCUUCUCCUUCUCGUCGCUCUCGCGCGGAUGGCGCGCGUCGUGGGCGACCGUGCGGAUGCCGCCGUACGGCGGUGUGCAGCCCAAGGCUUUACAACUGGGCGGGCUCUCGUACUGGCUUUGCAACCGGGGCGACGUGCUCUGGUACAACUACGGCGCCGACGCGGCGGGCAAGCUGCCGCCGCCGCCGCAUGGGAAGAAGAGGCCGUCCUCCCUGGUCGACGGAGGAGGGUACAUGGAGGGCAGCAGGGAGCUGGUGGCGUGGCGCGGGAGGAUCGCGAUGGUGUCAGCGAGCCCCACCCUGCUGGCCGUGUGGGCGCUGUCGUCGUCGCCCUCCUCGGGCAAUGCCUCGCUGACGCGGUGGGAGAUGGUGCACCGGAGGAGCUGGGACGAAAUCCCUGGCAUGGCGCCCCCCGCGUCGCGCUUCCUGUGGUCGGUGGUGCCGGCGGGAGUGGACGUCGGCGCGGAGGUCUUGGGCCUGGCGGUGCGGAUCGGGUACAGGCAGCGCCGCGGCCACGGCGUGGGUGGUGGUGUUGACAACGAGAAUGUGUGGCGUCGCGAGGUGUUGCGGUACGACAUGCGUACCGACGCCACGGCCACGGUGGCGGAACUGGUCGGCAGGGAGAAGCACGACGACUUCGUCGUCUUCGGCUACCACUCCAGCAUGGCGCCAUUGUACUAG